AUAUAAUUACACACACAGAUACGUGAUAUAUAGAGUGUUAAGAUAA
rnacentral:guide_RNA from 1 species